rnacentral:rRNA from 1 species
GACGAACGCUGGCGGCGUGCCUAAUACAUGCAAGUAGAACGCUGAAGGAGGAGCUUGCUUCUCUGGAUGAGUUGCGAACGGGUGAGUAACGCGUAGGUAACCUGCCUGGUAGCGGGGGAUAACUAUUGGAAACGAUAGCUAAUACCGCAUAAUAGUAGAUGUUGCAUGACAUUUGCUUAAAAGGUGCAAUUGCAUCACUACCAGAUGGACCUGCGUUGUAUUAGCUAGUUGGUGGGGUAACGGCUCACCAAGGCGACGAUACAUAGCCGACCUGAGAGGGUGAUCGGCCACACUGGGACUGAGACACGGCCCAGACUCCGACGGGAGGCAGCAGUAGGGAAUCUUCGGCAAUGGACGGAAGUCUGACCGAGCAACGCCGCGUGAGUGAAGAAGGUUUUCGGAUCGUAAAGCUCUGUUGUAAGAGAAGAACGAGUGUGAGAGUGGAAAGUUCACACUGUGACGGUAUCUUACCAGAAAGGGACGGCUAACUACGUG